GAACAUGGCUCAAGACGAACGCUGGCGGCGUGCUUAACACAUGCAAGUCGAACGAUGAAGCGGCGCUUGCACCGUGGAUUAGUGGCGAACGGGUUGAGUAAUACGUGAGUCGACCUACCUUUGACUCUGGGAUAAGCCUGGGAAACUGGGUCUAAUACCGGAUACGACCGAUUCUCUGCAUGGGGUGUUGGUGGAAAGCGUUAUGGAGUGGUUUUAGAUGGGCUCACGGCCUAUCAGCUUGUUGGUGAGGUAAUGGCUUACCAAGGCGACGACGGGUAGCCGGCCUGAGAGGGUGACCGGCCACACUGGGACUGAGACACGGCCCAGACUCCUACGGGAGGCAGCAGUGGGGAAUAUUGCACAAUGGGCGCAAGCCUGAUGCAGCGACGCCGCGUGAGGGAUGACGGCCUUCGGGUUGUAAACCUCUGUUAGCAUCGAAGAAGCGAAAGUGACGGUAGGUGCAGAGAAAGCGCCGGCUAACUACGUGCCAGCAGCCGCGGUAAUACGUAGGGCGCGAGCGUUGUCCGGAAUUAUUGGGCGUAAAGAGCUUGUAGGGCGGUUGGUCGCGUCUGCUGUGAAAGGCCGGGGCUUAACUCCGGUUUUGCAGUGGGUACGGGCUAACUAGAGUGCAGUAGGGGAGACUGGAAUUCCUGGUGUAGCGGUGGAAUGCACAGAUAUCAGGAGGAACACCGAUGGCGAAGGCAGGUCUCUGGGCUGUAACUGACGCUGAGAAGCGAAAGCAUGGGGAGCGAACAGGAUUAGAUACCCUGGUAGUCCAUGCCGUAAACGUUGGGCACUAGGUGUGGGGGACAUUCCACGUUUUCCGCGCCGUAGCUAACGCAUUAAGUGCCCCGCCUGGGGAGUACGGCCGCAGGGCUAAAACUCAAAGGAAUUGACGGGGGCCCGCACAAGCGGCGGAGCAUGCGGAUUAAUUCGAUGCAACGCGAAGAACCUUACCAAGGCUUGACAUGCAUUAGAUCGCGUCAGAGAUGGCGUUUCCCUUCGGGGCUGGUGUACAGGUGGUGCAUGGUUGUCGUCAGCUCGUGUCGUGAGAUGUUGGGUUAAGUCCCGCAACGAGCGCAACCCUCGUUCUAUGUUGCCAGCGGUUCGGCCGGGGACUCAUAGGAGACUGCCGGGGUCAACUCGGAGGAAGGUGGGGAUGACGUCAAAUCAUCAUGCCCCUUAUGUCUUGGGCUUCACGCAUGCUACAAUGGCCGGUACAGAGGGUUGCGGUACUGUGAGGUGGAGCUAAUCCCUUAAAGCCGGUCUCAGUUCGGAUUGGGGUCUGCAACUCGACCCCAUGAAGUCGGAGUCGCUAGUAAUCGCAGAUCAGCAACGCUGCGGUGAAUACGUUCCCGGGCCUUGUACACACCGCCCGUC
rnacentral:rRNA from 1 species